CAGAGGGAGAUUCCCUCUCAAAAAAAAAAAAACCAAAAAAAAAAAACUCUUAAUGGCUGAAGUCCAAAUUCCUUAGCAUGGCAUAAAAAUGUAAUCCUGUCGUCCCUCAAAAUAGUGUCCAAACUUCUUAGCAUGCUAUGUAAAUUUAAUCAUAUAACUUCUUUUUAUAAAAACAUGCUCUGCUUAUAAAUGACCCGUCUCCUCAGCAUGGAGCCCCGCCUGGGUGCCCUUGUGCCCAGGGGAUGCCUCUCCUCAGAAGUGGUCUGAUGCUUAUUCAUUAUCUGGUUCAGCAAAUCCAGACACCUUAACUUAAAAUAUGUUUACAAUCCAAUUUCUCUGGAGACAAAACUCUCAUCAAUUUACUCCUUAAAACUCUUUACUGGCUGACAUCCGAACGCCUCUGCAUAAGAUUUCAACAAUGAGCUCAAUGAGCUCAUCCCCCACCCCUUCCAAACACAGCACUUGAAUGCCUUCAACUCUCACGUAAAAUCACAUCUCCUUAGCAUGUGAGCAAAAUUUGAUCAUAUCAUCUUUAUCAUAGAGAUCCUGUCUUUUAGCUUUGCCAAAAUGCACUUGUUUGAGCAUGUAACUUCUCAACUUAAAACUUCUCGAAGUUUCUUCAUUGCCUGUAACAUAAAGUCCCAACUACUUGACACAAAAUGCAACAUUUUACCAUGUAAUUUCUCUCACGAUGAUCUAUUAAAAAACCCCAAAUCGCAUCCUGUUCUUGCUUUAAGCCCUUUAUUGGCUUGAAUCCAAAGUUAUUAACAUGAUAUAAAAAUUUGAUCAUGUCAUCCCUUAAAGGAAAAUUCACACUUCCUAGGACAAUAUAUAAAAUUUGACCUUAUAACUCCUCUUUAAAAUCUUACAGUGUCUCUUAAUUGUAAAUGGAAGAAAAGUCAAAAUUCUUAGCAUAAAAUGUGAAUUUUAUUUUGUAAUUCACUGCAUACUAUUUAUCAUACGCAAAAAACCCACCAGGCCACUGUUAGAAAGUUUUAUUGGCUAAAUCAAAUUCCUAGGUGUAUGCAAAAGUCUAAUCAUGUUGGAGCCUCAAAAUAAAUUCCAAAUUUCUUUUCAUAUUCGCAAUAUCGAUCAUUUAACUCCUCUGAUAAAAUUCUUUCAACUUUGGUGUCAGCAUUAAUCACACCUCCUAGGCAAGCUCUGCAGGUUGAAAUUGGCACUCCCCCAAGAUAGAAAGUCAAAAUGUUUGCGCAUGAUUGUUAAAUUGGUGGCCAUUACUUUUCUUUUACAAUUUCCAGUGUUUCCUUGUUGCUUGUAAUGUGAAUCCCAAAGCUGUUACCCAUAAAAUAUAUUUUAUCAUGUUUCUCUGCAUACUUAUCUCCCACAAGCAAGAAUCUCAUCAUCACAUUUCUUAAAACCCUUUGGCAAAAAUCUAGACUCCUUAGCAUGAUAUAAAACUUUGAUCCUGCCAUCCCUCAAAACAAAGUCCAGAUUUCUUCCCAGGAAACUCAAAUUAUGAAGCUCUUGCUUAAAAUCUCAACGUGUUUUCAUCACUACAAAAAGCCUCACCAUCUUAGCAAGGCACCCACUUUUAAUCAUGGCACUCCCAGCUUCAAACCUGUCAAAUUUCAUGUCCUCAACAUAAAAUCUAAAUGCCUGAGCAUGAAAUGAAAAUUGGACCAAUUAUUUCUUACAUUGAAAAUCUUUAGAUUGCUCUUCUCUACUUAAACUAUAAACCUGAAGUUCUUUUCGCAUGAAACCAGAGCUUUUCACCAUCUACAGUUUCCAGCUUCCAUUUCCUGUUCCUCGUGCUUCUCUCUGAAAAGACUGAGUUUCCCAUUCUCCAGCCUCCAAAUGCAUUUCGAUUUUAUUGUCCCCAAAUGUUUCUUUUUUUUUUUUUUUUUUUUUUUGUUUCACCAAGUCCCUCUGCCCAUAGUUCAUUAAUUCAUAUAGCAGCAUGUCCUGAUUCUUUUUCUGGGCCAGGCACGGUGCUCGAUCCCCGAUGGAGGGAAAUGGAGACAGACCCACCUUGCAGGUCAUCACCAGGAAGGAGAUGAGACUCACGUCCUGGAGACGAAUACCCCACUGGAGGUGUCGUGAAGGGGAGAUGGCUGCUUUCUCCUGGGAAGGGAGCAGAUGCCUGGCCCAGGACCAAAUCAAAAGCUGAGGCUCACUGCCCCCAGUGGGCAGUGGGACCAGGGGUUUCUGAGGCCAGGGCAUGGCCCAGCCCUGCUGCUCCCAAGAUGGCACCUGGCUUGGAGGGGUGAGGGGCCCUGUUAGUCUGACUUGAAGAAGACCAGCCUUCCACACUCGCUUGGUGCCCUGACAGGAAUCAAGCUGUCAGGGGGCGCAGUGAGGCCCCAGCUCCUUACCAGCAAGCCUGCUCAGCUGCGAACGCGAGCCGCCGGGCUGCAGCUCUCUAGAGGUCCGUGUCCCCACCGCCUGGCCCCAUCUCAUGUCACAUUCCCCCGAGGUCUCAUUCCACUCGGCUAAUCUCCAAGAACACCGGCCGGGGCAUUGGCUUUCGGGUCCUCUUAAAGACCAAAAAGUAAAGCGCUCCCCCGUGGGUGCUGGACAGCUUGGGAAGGAUUUGGGGCUGUGGCUGGUGAAAUCACAGCCCUGGGCACACACCUGCCGGCCCCAUGUCACUGACAGGCUGCUCGGAGGCUUGGGGCUCCAGUGAGAGCAUAUAAAUAUUGUUUUAAAAAUAUAUUUGCGACAAAAUAAAUCCCCCGUGUCUGCAGAACUUGCUCUGGGCAUGUACCCACUCCCAAUCCAUCAAGAAACAUGCCCUUUGCUUUGUAUUUGUAAAAACAGAAACAAAAACAAAAACAACCCACAAGCGAACAAACAAAUUAAAUCCCCCCCACACAAAAUGUUUAUUCUAAUUAUGCAAGAAAUGGAUUGAUAAUUAAUACACGCAUUAGUAAAAAUCAAACAUGGCAGAUAAAGCCAUUUUUAAUGCCUCCCUCAAUCCCUCCCAACCACCCCCCAGCAAAUUAACUGCUCUUCUCAGUUUCGGGCGUCUGGUUCCAGAUAUUUUUUUCUGUGCAUUUGCAUAUGUAGAUAAAUAUACCUCUAAAAUCUACGACUUUGUUUAUUUCUUACAUAAACUAUAUCAUAGUGUACAUUUCCUUUCGCAGCAGCUUGUGUUUCUUCCUUCAAGAGUCUGCUUAGAGAUAAUAAAGAUCAACACUAUUCCUUAUAAUGACACCUCAGUAUCCUGCGAGCUGUACACGCCAGAGUUUAUUUAAUCACCUUGCUGCUGGCAUGAAAGCCUCGGGUCCUUUACCCUGGUGGGGGUGAAUUGUGGCAGCAGGUGUAAGUAAUUGCUGAGAUUUGGGUUUGGGGAGUGGGCUCAUGAGUGUUUAUGACAUUAUUAUAAAUGAAUAUAUGAGUGCAUAAAUUAGCAAAAUAAAAGGGGGCUUUUCUGGAUCAAUGAUGAGACAGUGUUUAUGAACAAAAGAUCAUGAUUAAUCCAGUUCUGCACAAAAUACUGAGGUCCAUUAGACCUUGGCUGUUUCAUUCCUUUUAAGAGCUAUUUAAUAUUCUACGGUAUGUAUGCACCAUUGUUGAUUACACUCUUUUCUACUGUUGAAAAUCCCAGCUGAAGGUGCUCUGGGGGAGGAGAAGCUUUGGUCACAGUCCUAGCCAUCAGGGUGGGUCACAGAUUCAUAGGUGUUCAUUAAAUUAUUUUUUUAAAAAAGAAUACAUAAAAAUGGUGCUUAAUGCAGAUCAGCGAGGAAGCGUGUCACAAAUCCAGGUUUUAAUUAAUACGAUUCUGCUCAACUAAUGCCCGAUAAAAAAGAUCUAAGCUGUUUCCGUUUUUUGUUGCUGUUACCAAUGACACUGCAGUGAGCAUUCUUGCAGCUAAAUCUGUAAACACAUCCUCGACUGUUCCUUUUCCCCAGCUUCUUAGAGAUGGGGUGGUGGGUUAAAUUGUUUGCAAAAGUUUAUUUUCAUUGAGUGAUCUUUCUAAAAUGGCAUUUUGACCUUAUUACUGUCUUGCUUUAAAGCCUCCAUCUGACUUCCUGGAGCUUCCGGGACGGGGUCCAAAAAAUAAGGCCUUACCCUGGCAUGGAAGACCCUUUAGGGUCUGUCGUGGAACUUGCCAGCCUCAGCCCCUCCCCACUGGUGUUUCCCUGCUAGGCGCACCUCACCCCCACGGGGCUACCUGUUCCUCUCAGCGGGCUCCCUGCUUCUUACGCUUCGCGUGGCCAUGCCUUUUCAGCCAGCUUCUCCCCCUCCUUAAAGAGCAGGCUUGAAAUAUCGCUGUUGGGGAGCCCAAAGUUAGAUGUGCCCCAAAAAACACUGUGUUCAGAAGCCCCCCGAAGCCUUGACCCUGGAAGUGGGAUGCCUCACUGACAAUUUUUUCCCAGUUAAGGGAAAUGUUUUGCAUUUUUCUAGAAUUGAUGAAACUGGCCAACUGUUAAUCACCCUCCUUCCUUUGUCCCUUUCUAGGAGCCCUGGGCUCCCCCAGUGUUGCCUGGAUCUGACUUUGCCUCAGUGAAAACCGCCUCGAGUUCUUUCUUGCACCGAUGGGCAGAUAGUGUCAGAGGAUCGUGUCAUCUGUCCUGUGGCGCUGGUUGGCUUGGUCAAGUCAGUGUUCAAACUAUUUCCUGCUCUUUCAAGGGGAUCUGGGGCCCUAGAAGAUUAGAGGACUUUGAGAGGUUAGUGACUUGCCCAAGGUCGGCUAGGAAGCAAGACCCAGGAUUCCAACUCAGGUCUGUGUGAUUCCUCUGCAAAAUUGAGAGGUGGAAGGAUGGAUGUCAGGUCUGAUGGAUGGAUGGAUGCCUACAUCAAGAUGCAUGCAUAGAUGGAGAGAUGGCUGGCUACCUGAUGAAUGCUGGACUGUUGUGAGAAUCAAACGAGAUAAUGUAUGCUGAGGCAUGCUGUGAACACUGCGUGCUGGGUACAGGAGAAUGGAGGCUCCAGAGUGAAAUUAAUGACACUUUGUCGAUGAAGAUCUUGAUUGUGACCUCUGGGGAAAAUGAGCCAUGAACCAACCAAUGUGAGUAAUGUUUAGUGUUGUUGUUUUGAAGUUGGGUCGUUGGUUGAUGGUUGUUUAUUACAUUAUUAAACAUGAAUCAAUACAUAAAUAAGGUCAAAGAUGACGGGCAUGAUGAGAAUGUCAUGAACCAAGGGUGAUUAAUUUCAUACAGCAUAACUGUCACCAAAUUAAAAAACAGUAUUACUGGGCUGUUCUCUGUAGCAAAUGAGGAAAGAAAAAAAGGAACACACACACACACAUACGUAUCCUACAUAUAUAUAACAUGUAUCAUGUGUUAUGUUUAUACAUGUAUCCUAUAUAUAUAUCACACACGUAAUAUGUGUUAUGUUUAUCUUUCAUAUUUUCAUGCUGGGGUGGGUUUAUAUAUGUUUAUGGGGUAAUUAAACAUAAAUGGAUACAUGUAUAAACAAGAUCAAAGAGAGUCAAGCAUGGACUAAUGAAGACAAUGUAUCAUGAUCUAAGAUUUACGAUUGCACAGUUCUGCAAAUUGGAGAGACAUUAAAACACAAAUAUUUAUGCUGUUUCAUUCAUUUCAGUAGCAUUCCACCAUUAAUUUAUGCACUACACUUUUGCAUGAACACUUUCCUAUUGAAGAAGUUUGGGAUGUUAAGUCGGUGGCAGAGAGUCACAUAGGGAAGUAAGGUAUUGGUCGUUUUCUGUUUGUUGAAUAGGAUUCAUGAUUGUUCUUUCAUGAUUUUUGUUUAAAGCGAUAAAUAAAACUUAAAAGGGCCAAGCAUAGAUAAUGAGGAUAAUAUUUCAUGUAAAGUGAGGCUUAUUAAUUAAAUUAUACACAAGUAAAGGCCAUUAAAAAUGAUACAGGUGUUUAUUUUUCUAAUAGUUGCUGUUUGUUGCACAGAAUGGACAAAUCAUAGCUUAUGUAGUCAUGCAACAUUUAUGAGAAUUUUGACUCUUACUUGGGUAGAUAAGGUACUUAAAGAAAAUGUAAUUAAUAGUUGAUGUUGUUAAAUCUUUGCUGGAGAGUUGUUUAAGGGUGUUCAUAAAUAAGUGAAUGAAUGAACAAACACAUGAAUAAAACAAGAGAGGGCAAACAUGGGACAAAGGUGAUCAUAUCUCAUUGUUGUAAAUUCUUUUUAUUGUAUGUAGCUUCAGUAUCCAUUUUGAACCUAAGUUUAACUUUCUCAUUCCAGAAGCAGGCUUAGUCACCCUUGACACAGUUUGCAGUUAUCCACCUCCUCCCAGUUCUUAAUAUGAUAGAUCCAGAUAACUGCCUUGUACAGCCACCUCCAGGAUACUGCCUCCCUAAGGAUCAGCUAGAUACACUGACCCCACAGCCUAUGUGGACCACACAGAUAUACUGGCUUGCUCUAAACGCGCCAGUGAGAACUCUCUGCAGGAAACCUGCUUGGGAAAUGCCGUAGUCUGCAAUACAGGCUUUCCCCUUCCCGCUGGCCCUGUGAGGCAUGCAGGAUCUGAUAAGUCUACUUUUCUUCCACGUAACAACCACAGGAUAUAUGACAUUCAUUUUCUAAGAAACAAAAUCUUGGCAGUUAGAUCCGUGGGGUAAAGAAUAUAGAUACUAAUGUAAGUUAACACCUCAAGUUCAUGUCCUUGGUUUGGAUGCUUUGUUCGGGAGUGUUUAGUGGUAUUUCAAAGGAAUCAAUAUCUAUAACAGAAAUUAAAAUAACCAGGAAUGGACCAGUGAUGGAAAUGUGUUCUGAAAAUAUGUUUAAUAUAAUUUGGCACAACUGAAGUGAUAAAAAUAUAGUAGCUAGACCAUUUAUAUUCACAAUUAUUUAACAUUGUAUCUUAUUUUCUACCUCAAAUUAUUUAAUCUUUUCCAUAUUGGUAUGGUCCUGGCCGAUAACUCUUUGUGUGGCAGCCUGAGAGAAUAUGGAAGACAUUGUCAGUGUUGGAAGAUGGUGGUUUUAUCACUUUUCAUUGCACUAUCUUUAAAACAUGGGCAAAUUGGCUAAAAGAAGACUACAGAAGAAAUAAUGGUGAUUGUGAAUUUGGUAUGAAGCAUGGAUGUUAAUUAAUCACACAUGUUCUCUGAGGUCCAUUGUAAAAGGAGACCUAGUCUUUAGGGAGAGAGCCACUAAUGGGGAUAUCUUAUUCCUAUAAUUUUGUGGUUAUAUUAUUAUUCAUGAACCAAUGAAUAAUAAAUGAAUGAUCUAAAGGAAGAAAAACGUGCUUGGACCAAUGAUGAGUACCAUGGGGUAUCUGAAACAGGAUUUUUGAUUAAACCCAUAUGCAAUUCUGAGGUCCAUUACAAAGAGACACGUAUUAUUCCUUUUUGGGAAGUGAGCCUAUGGUACCUUUUCCUUGGACUUUGUGGUUCUUGGGGAUGGAUUGCAUUUUUGUUAUAAAAUCAGCCCAUGAAUUAAAAAUUUAUCAAUGAGUAAAACAAAAAGCAUAAGUCAUGUACUUAUUAUCAGUGAAUGUAAUGAAACAUGAAUUAUUAUUAAAACUUAUCUGAGACUCCCAAUAAAUUAAUACCCAAGGCUUCUACCAUUCUGGUAAGGAGCAUAUGGUCAUUUGUAUCCAAGAGUCAAAGUUUUUGUUCUGUGUUGGUGGUGGGUUGCUGACUAUUUCAUUAAGAAAAUUAAGCAUCUUAAGUGGUUAAAUAACCACUUAAUUGAGACCAAGCAGAGACCAAUGAUGAGUGUAUUAACCUAUUUUUAAUGGAUUUUUAUUAAACAAAUAAAAAAGAAACAUAGUCUAUUCUUUCUGAGGGCAAUGACUCUAGACAGAUGUAAAUAUUCUUCAGUGUUCUUGUCCAGUGCUGUGAGAGCACAGAUACUGAUGUCUUUUGUAUAUGAGAAGGAAGGUGCACUUUUAUGUCUCAGUUUAUAUUUUAGAGUCAGCAAACCAUGGACCAAUUAGGAACAAAUGUUAUGAGAAUGCUGAUUCUUGUUUUUUUUUCAUGAUAGACAUUCUAAGAAAAACUCUAGGCUCUUUCAUUGUUUUUGGGAUACAUACAUGGUCCUUUCCAAGUAGUUUCUUAGAAAAAUGUUUUUAAAAAGAGGCUUUUAAAAAGAGCCUUUUAAAAUGUUUUUAAAACAAGACUUUAUUUUUCUCUAUAGAAUGAAAACCAUGUAGCUGGUUUUAUUAUUCUCUAAUCACGAAGACCAUUAUUGUUAUUUGUGGACUAACAAGCAGAAAGACUGAUAAUGGACAUAGGCCAGCUGAUUUAAUAAUUUAAGAAAGAACUGUUAUCCUGAGUAAGGAGCAUAGAGACAAAUAUAAAAUGAACGCACUGUACCUGAUUUAAUUAUAGUCUUCUGGUGAAGAUCUUGCUGUUAUCUCUGUGAAUCAGGAGAGAAGAGAUCGAUAAAGAAUAGACGAGAUUGGAUUUGGUCAUUUCCCCAAGGUGAAGAGCACGGCGAUUUCUUCUGUGAAUGAAGACCAUGGUUGAUUUAAUCAGUCUCUGCUGAUGAAGAUCUUGGCUGUUACCUUUGUGUAAUGGAUGCGCAAUGAUUCAAUUAUUCUCCAGCAGGGAAGAUCAUGGUUGUUGUCUGUUUGAGUAAUGAGUGUAGAAACCUACAAUGGAGGCGUGAUGGCUGAUCCAAUCAUAUUCCACUGAUGAAGGUUUUGAUGGCUACCUAUAAUGAACAGCCCUAUCUGAUUUGAGCACUGUGCAAUGACCGUGAACUGUACGGUUACCUCCGUGUGUCACAGGAAGACUCUUAAUGAACACCCUCGAGUUGACUUAAGCACUCUUCCAUGGUCACGAGGUUUCUGGUUGCCUCUGUGUGUUAGAAGCUUGGAGACCAAUGCCUUCUGCUGUGAUUGCGUUCUCCAUAGUUGCCUCUGGGUAGGAGCCUGGACACUAAUGGAAAAUGGAUGCACUUGAGCCGACCUAAGCAUUCAUGGUCAUGAGAUUUGUGGUUGCCACUGUUGGUUAGGAGCAUAGAGAUCAGUGUGAGUAAUAAAACUCAUGUCUUUCUCUAAGAGACUUUUUAAAGGGUAUUCAUAAUAUCAUGAAAGUGUGAAAAAUCAUCCAAAAGGCCAACCUCAGCCAAUGAUAAAUAUGAGAUUGGUUGAAACAGUAUAUUUACUAGCUCAUUUAUGACACACUGAGGAUAAUUCAUGAAAGAUAUAUCAAACUGACAGAUUAUAUAGAAAGUUCUAGAAUAUUCUAUGCUCUUACUCUUUGGGUAUUAUAUUUACAUGGGUUAUAAUAUUAAUAUUUAUGAAUUAAUGCAUAAAUACAUGUAAAUGAGAAUUAAGCUAAAGAGUCCUAAGCCUGAGCCAAUGAUGAAAACUGGUGGCAUAGAAGUCAAGGAUACUGAAUAAUGUGUGUCUAGAACUCUGAGGUUCAAUAGAGGAGGAAAUAUAGUCUAUUGCUUUUGAAGUGAUCUUAUACUUAGGUUUUGGAAAUACAAAAGGACCUUCUUCUUGGAUUGUUUUUGUGAAUUUUGUUUCUUUAAAAUAAGUUCAUUGAUGUAAUAAUCAAUGUACACACGUAAAAAAGUAAAGAUGAGGAGUGUGAAGCAUGUCCACUCAAUGUAAAUGGUGAGACAACUGAAAUCAUUAAAAUGUAUUGAAAAUAUGAAUACCAUUAAAAAAACGGACAAGUCAAGUGUAAUCUUUGACUACGGAUGACAUAGGCAGUAUAGUGAAGUUUCUUAUUUUGCAUCAGAACAAGUGUGCUGUUGUUAAUUUUUUUUAAAAGAAAAUUGAUAAAUAUUACCACAAUUAAUAGAUACCUGAAUGACUAAGAGAAGGGUCAAAUGAAUGAAUCCGUGAAAAAUAUUGGAAAUCCUGUUAUCUUCUCUGCUUUGCACUUCCGAGAAUGGACACACCUGGGCUGGCAGAACAUCUGGCCUUGAUCUGGAGCCCCAUGUCUGCCCCUCUGUAGAGGUGCACAUGGGCCAAUGAUGGAUGAAAUGAGCAGAGCAUUUUGCUGUGAUCAAGGCUCUGUUGCCUCUGUGUUAGGCCAAUAAUGGACGCACCUGAAUUGACCUACGCAUUUGCAAGCUCCAUGGCUGUCCCGGUGUUUGGAGCGUGGAGACCGAUUUGAGUUAUAGUCACUGUUCUUGCCUUGGUUUUGGUGGCUUAUUUAGGAUACUCGCUGAAUACUUUUAAAAAAAGUAUUAAAUAUAACCAAAGAAGGCCAACUGUGGCCCAAUGAUAAAUAUGGUUUUGACAUGAAAUAUUAUGUUGAUUGAUCAAUUUUUGUAACAAUGGGAAUGAUUAAUGAAAGAGGUAUAUUCAGUGACAUACACAUAUGUCACUAAAUGAAUGAUGUGAUUUCAUAGAUAGAUAUUAGGGAUAUAAGAGUUUCUUUUCUGUGAGAUUUUGUGAUUCACAGAUAAUUAUUUUAUUAUGUUUGAUGAAUUGAGAAUUAAUUAAUUAGCAAAUAUACAGUAGUAUGAAGAAAAAGACAUGUAAACCUGAACCAAUGAUUGAUGGUUUAGGAGUCAUGGGUGAUGAAUAAUAUGUGUCUGGAACCUAAAGUUUUGCAGAAAACAAACUCUGAUCUAUUUCCUAGGGUCAUUUGCAAAUGACAAUGUUUGAAAUGAUAGAUUGAUGUUAAUAAUGUGUAAGAAUCUACUUAUUUUGGAUUCAUGGAUUUACAUAUUGUUAUUAUUUAAAAUUGAUCCAUGAUGAAAGUAUUAAACAAACAUAUAAUUCGACAAAUAUGAAGAUAGAGAGAUGGACUUCAACCAUGUGAUGAUUCAAGAUAUAAUAUCAACAUAAAACGAAACACUAGCUCCCAACAUGGUGAAACCCUGUCUCUAUUAAAAAUACAAAAAAUUAUAUGGACGUGGUGGUGCACGCCUGUAAUCCCAGCUACUCGGGAGGCUGAGACAGGAGAAUCACUUGAACUUGGCAGGUGGAGGUUGCAGUGAGCCAAGAUUGCACCAUUGCACUCCCGCCUGGGCAACAAGAGCAAAACUCUGUCUAAAAAAAAAAAAAAAAGAAAUGGACCCAAGGGUGUUACCUCUUUUUGGUUAGUGAUCACAUAGAUGCUGGGUAGUAGGAAUUUUAUUGCUUGGAGCAGUCCUUUUGAGAUUGUUUUGUUCAGAAUGAACAUAUAUGUUAUGAAAAAUUAAUAAAUACCUAAAUUACUGGGAAAGCAAAGAUCAACAAAAAGGUCUUAGUUUUUAAAAUCAGCUGCUUUGCUUUGUAUUUCUUAGAAGGGAUGCACUGGAGCUGAUUUAAGAAUUCUCUCAUAGUCACAAGAUGUAUGGUUGCCUCUGUGUAGGUUCCUGGAAACCAAUGUGAGUAUGAGUCAAUAUUCUUGUCUUGGUUUGAGUGUUUUUUAAGAGGUAUCACUGUGUUGUUAUACACUUUGGCAUAUAAUUAGUUAAUGUCUUAAGAAUGGGAUUGAUGUAAUGCAUUAUGUUGAUUAAUCUAUAUGUGAAACACUGCAUUAAAUUAAUUAAAUGUAUCUAGUGUCUAUGGGAAAUAAUUUUGUAGACAGAUAUUAGAUAUUCAAGAGUCUUGCUCUUGAGUUUUUCUGACUCUUUGGUAUUUACUUAUUCUUAUUAGUAUUUACUUAUGCUUAUUAGUGAGUUGAUGAAUUAAUCUAUCAAUAAAUGAAGACAUGAAUGAAGAAAAAGCUCCAAGUCUGGACCAAAGACGAAGUUUGGUGAUGUAGGAAUUAUGAACAAUAAAUACCUGUGUUUGGAACUUUGAGGUCCAACAUGAAAACUAGUUUACUCCCUAUGAUGUAAUUGAUCAUAUAUAUAUAUAUAUAUAUUAGAAAUAGCAAAGAUCUGAUUGUGUUUCAUAGCUAUCGAUUAUAUCUUCAUAAGUUGAUUAGUGCACAAAUAAACAAAGAAAUGUAUGAAUACACGAAGAAAAAUGGAACCAAGUAUGGACUAAGUAUGUCCUCUAUAAAGUUGCUCUUAUUUAGAAACAAAUUAUAGGAUUUUACUAGGAUUUUACUAGGGUCGGAUAGGCAUUUCUGUUCUAGAUUUCUGAAAAUGAAAAUAUUACUCAUUUUCUUGAAAAGGAAUAGAUGGUUGGAAAAAUUAAUUCAUUUGUUCCUGAAUUAUAAACUCAUUUAGACUAAUAAUGAAUGAGUUAAUAGAUAAAAAGGUCAAGAAGUGACCACUCAUGAGAAUGUGUUAUAAAGCCAGGAAUGAGAAGAAGCUGAUUCUGUAAGGCAAAACUAACUUGCAGAGAAUACCAAGACGAUUACAUGUUUGAGUGGCGGCACUGGGGCCAAUAUGUCCCAUAGUCAGAUGUUUUGCUUAAUGCAGGUGAUGGAUUCAAGAAUGUUCACUAUUGAUGUAAAAUUCAUAACUGAAAUAAUUCAGUAAAUAAAAGGAGAGUGAAUCUAAUCUAAGGAUGGGGAGUGUCGUGAACCAAUGUUUGAGAUGAACCUAACCCUGAUCAUUUCAUAUUUAUUCAGAAACAGCCUGAAUCUUUUUGUUUCUUACCUGUAACAUCUACUUUGUACUUUGCAGGGUUGAUGUUCACGGGUGAUUGAUCCUCCUGUAGCGUCGGUGGUAUUGACUGUUCCCCAGAGGACAAGGAGUGUGUUCUUGCAUAAGUCAUAGUUGACAUUCUUGUUUUUGAUUGGGUAGUUUGACUGUUCAUUGAUGUUUAUAGUACUAUAGAAGGUAGAUAAAUGGCCACAUACCUAAAGAAAAUCAAAGGAGACAAAAGGUGAGAAUCUGUUAUAAACUAAGGAUUAUAAUUAAUCUAAUUCAGUACAACUGUGGACAAUUUUGAAAAGAUAAAGAUUGAUGUCAUUUUAGUCAUUUUAUAGAUAAACUAAAAAUGGGACAUUUUUAAUAUUCCAUUUUAGCAUUUUUCAUAGUUUACACAAACAUUGCUAUAUUGCUAGAUAGCCUAGUCUGUUAACUCCCUGAGGAAGGAGCACAUGUGAAGUAAAUACUUGUCAUUAUCAUAGUAGGAUCAAGUGGAAUAUUCUUCUGGUCUAUUGUUACGUCUUCAUAGACUAUAUAAUUUAAACAAAAUGGUUCAAGCAUGGACCAAUGACAUAACCAAAAUCAAUUCUAGACAAACAUGAUUAUUAUUAUAUUUCACAACAUUUUUGUAGUUCGUUACAAAAAAAGACCUAGCCUAUUACCUUGUUUAUUACCUCUCUUGGAAAUGAACCCAAUGA